AACCUCUCCGGUGGCCUAGUGGUUAGAGCGACCGCCUCGUACGCGGGAAGUUCUGGGUUCGAUCCCCAGUCGAGUCA